rnacentral:rRNA from 1 species
UACGUAGGGUGCGAGCGUUGUCCGGAAUUAUUGGGCGUAAAGGGCUCGUAGGCGGUUUGUCGCGUCGGGAGUGAAAUCCACUGGCUUAACUGGUGGCUUGCUUUCGAUACGGGCAGACUGGAGGUAUGCAGGGGAGAACGGAAUUCCUGGUGUAGCGGUGAGAUGCGCAGAUAUCAGGAGGAACACCGGUGGCGAAGGCGGUUCUCUGGGCCUGAUCUGACGCUGAGGAGCGAAAGCGUGGGGAGCGAACAGG